AUGAACCAACCAGCUAUGGGUCUGAGACUACUAUUAGUGGUUUUAUGUCUAACAGGUGUGGAGUGUCAGACAUUGACUGAGUCUGAGCCAGUGGUCAUCAGUCCUGGAGGAUCUCACAAACUGACCUGCACAGCAUCUGGGUUCACAUUUAGCGGUUAUCCCAUGAACUGGAUCAGACAGGCUCCUGGGAAAGGACUGGAGUGGAUUGCCUACAUUGGCACUAGCAGCUACCCGAUCUACUACUCCCAGUCAGUCCAGGGCAGGUUCACCAUCUCCAGAGAUGAUUCCAGCAGCAAGCUGUAUCUGCAGAUGAACAGUCUGAGGACUGAGGACACGGCUGUCUAUUACUGUGCUCGCCGGGACUCACAGUGA